rnacentral:rRNA from 1 species
UACUCCUACGGGAGGCAGCAGUGAGGAAUAUUGGGCAAUGCCCGCAAGGGUGACCCAGCAACGCCGCGUGGAGGAUGAAAGCCGUAAGGUUGUAAACUCCUGUGAGAAGGGACGAAAGAUUAGGUUUCGUAAGGGAUCUAAGUUGACUGUACCUUCAGAGGAAGCCCCGGCUAACUACGUGCCAGCAGCCGCGGUAAUA